rnacentral:rRNA from 1 species
AGUGAACGCUGGCGGUAGGCCUAACACAUGCAAGUCGAACGGCAGCACAUUAAGAGCUUGCUCUUACGAGUGGCGAGUGGCGGACGGGUGAGGCAUACAUCGGAAUCUCCUUUUUCGUGGGGGCUAACGUAGGGAAACUUACGCUAAUCCCGCAUACGACCUACGGGUGAAACCAGGGGAUCUUCGGACCUUGCGCGAUUGAUUGAGUCGAUGUCGGAUUAGCUAGUUGGCGGGGUAAAGGCCCACCAAGGCGACGAUCCGUAGCUGGUCUGAGAGGAUGAUCGGCCACACUGGAACUGAGACACGGUCCAGACUCCUACGGGAGGCAGCAGUGGGGAAUAUUGGACAAUGGGCGCAAGCCUGAUCGAGCCACACCGCGUGGGUGAAGAAGGCCUUCGGGUUGUAAAGCCCUGUUGUUGGGAAAGAAAAGCAGCAGGUUAAUACCCCGCUGUUCUGACGGGACCCAAAGAAUAAGCACACGCUAACUUCGGG